UACAGAGGGUGCGAGCGUUAAUCGGAAUUACUGGGCGUAAAGCGUGCGUAGACGGUUAUUUAAGUCGGAUGUGAAAGCCCCGGGCUCAACCUGGGAAUUGCAUUCGAGACUGAAUAGCUAGGGUGCGGUAGAGGGAAGCGGAAUUUCCGGUGUAGCGGUGAAAUGCGUAGAUAUCGGAAGGAACAUCAGUGGCGAAAGCGGCUUCCUGGACCAGCGCCGACGUUCAGGCACGAAAGCGUGGGGAGCAAACAGG
rnacentral:rRNA from 1 species